UCCGGUUUGUCACCGGCAGUCUCCCUAGAGUUCCCGGCCGAACCGCUGGCAACUAGGGACAAGGGUUGCGCUCAUUACGGGACUUAACCCAACAUCUCACGACACGAGCUGACGACAGCCAUGCACCACCUGCACACAGGCCACAAGGGAACCGACAUCUCUGCCGGAAUCCUGUGCAUGUCAAACCCAGGUAAGGUUCUUCGCGUUGCAUCGAAUUAAGCCACAUGUUCCGCCGCUUGUGCGGGUCCCCGUCAAUUCCUUUGAGUUUUAGCCUUGCGGCCGUACUCCCCAGGCGGGGUGCUUAAUGCGUUAGCGUCGGCACGGAGAGGGUUGAAGACCUCCCCACACCUAGCACCCAACGUUUACGGCUGGGACUAC
rnacentral:misc_RNA from 1 species